UUCAUUUUAACUCUACUUGUAAGUAGAAUAAGCUUAAAUGCCCGAGGGCGCACGUGGGGCCAUUAUUCGUGAGAAUAAUUUAAAAGCUUUUUCCAAAACUUUCACUUUGCUACGACUUAUCUUAUUUCUAAGAGUGACGGACAAUAUGUACAUAUUUUAAAACCUCUUCUUUAAGUUAUGCUUAAAUACUUGCAAAUCCUAUUUACACAAAUAAGUAUAUCAGUUGUAACUAAAAUUACCUUAAUUAUUUAUACAUGUCAUCUGAUUUAAAACUUAUAAUUAUAUAUUUAUUUAAACAACCACACACAAAAUAAAAUUAAGUAAGAGUUAAAGAGGCUUAUCUAUUUAAUAUUCAAGUUCCUCUGCAGGGGGUAAAAUACUGCCAUGUUUUUUAGGUUUAGAGGGUCCCCUUUUAAUACCUAAAUAAAUUUAAACAAAAUAUAAUAGGCUACUAACCCCAGUUUAUAAAAAAUUGUUAAAACUAUCAAUAGAAAAUAAAUAAAUAUUUUUUUACAACUAAUAAUAAAUUUUAUUAUCUAUAAAUUUAUUUUUCUUAGUAUUAAUUUACUUUGCAG
rnacentral:rRNA from 1 species